rnacentral:tRNA from 1 species
GCAAUAGCUCAGUGGUAGAGCGCCCGCUUCGUGUGAGGGGGGAGACCUGGGUUCGAUUCCCGGUUGC